rnacentral:lncRNA from 1 species
AUGUAUUUGGGCUCUUUUGCUAUCAAUGUUUAGUUGUUAGAUCUACACUUUGAUCAAUUUCAUCCUUUAAAUCGUACUAUUUAACCAACCACCUACUCAACCCUAGAAGGACCACUACGAAAUCCUAUGGGACCUCUAUCAUUCUAUCCCUACAAUUUUUAUCCAAGAGUUAGAAACUCGAUAGCAAAAAAUGUCAAAUACUAUAAAUAGUAUUCCAGCCCAAUUAUAUAUAUAUAGCUAAAUUAUAUAAAACCCUCCUGUCAAUACCCGCUUUUUCACAUCCCCCUCGUCAUUUAAAAAUCUAUACCUUACCUCUGUAAAAUGAAAAAUGUUCACAGGGGGAUACGGUGUGAACUGUGAUAACAAAAUGACCAAUUUGCCCCUCACCAUCUUCGUUUCCUCCCUUAUCUUGCUCAUCCGCUGCCUCGAUCGGCCGUGGUUCGUGCCUCGAUCAACCGCGGUUCUCUCCAUUUUCUUCUCCACCUGCUCCCCUUCUCUUCCUGCAUCCUCGUCGCCCCUCCAUUUCGGCAACAGUAGGGAGGAAAUUGAGGUGGGCGUAGAUUGAGAGGUGGGUAAGAAUAACGACGGUGAAGGCGAGGCGGUGGAGGAGGGCAAGGGGAUGUUUGUGGACACGGACAAAGAUGUAGGUGAGGGCGAGGCAGCAGAGAAGGGCGAGGCGGCAAGGCGGAGGAAGGCGAGGAGGCAGGAGAGGAGGCUGAGGGUAUUUUUGGUAUUAAAAAUAUAUAAUAAUAUUUUAUAAAGGGAACCCUAACGGGACACUAAUGACAGAAGGUGAAGUGAACAUUUUUUAUUUUACAAGAGAAUAAAGUGUAGGUUUUUAAAUAAUAGGGGAGGAAAGCGAAAAAGCGGGUAUUGGUAGGAAGAUUUUCUAUAAUUUAGUUUUUUUUUUGUCAUGAAAAA